GAUGAACGCUGGCGGCGUGCCUAAUACAUGCAAGUCGAGCGAACGGACGAGGAGCUUGCUCCUCUGACGUUAGCGGCGGACGGGUGAGUAACACGUGGAUAACCUACCUAUAAGACUGGGAUAACUUCGGGAAACCGGAGCUAAUACCGGAUAAUAUAUUGAACCGCAUGGUUCAAUAGUGAAAGACGGUUUUGCUGUCACUUAUAGAUGGAUCCGCGCCGCAUUAGCUAGUUGGUAAGGUAACGGCUUACCAAGGCAACGAUGCGUAGCCGACCUGAGAGGGGGAAUCGCCACACCGGGACCUGAGCACCGGCCCGGCCCCCAACGGAGGGCGCAAGAAGGGAUUUUCCCGAAUGGGGCAAAACCUGACGGGGGCACGGCGGCGUAGGUGUUAAGGGUCUUCGGUCCUUAAACCCUUGUAUUUGGGGAGAACAAAUUGUUAAGGUACUAUUCACGGCUUGACGGGAACUAAACAGAAAGGCACCGCUUACUACGGG
rnacentral:rRNA from 1 species